rnacentral:rRNA from 1 species
UACGUAGGACCCAGCGUGUCGGAUUACUGGUGUAAGGAGCGCAGGCGGAUUAUUAAGUCGAUUGUGAAAUCUUGCGGCUCAACCGCAAAACAGCAGUCGAUACUGGUGAUCUUGAGUGUGGAAGAGAGUGGCGGAAUUCAUGGUGUAGCAGUGAAAUGCGUAGAUAUCAUGAAGAACACCGGUUGCGAAGGCGGCCACUUAGUCCAUUACUGACGCUCAUGCUCGAAAGCGUGGGGAUCAAACAGGAUUAGAUACCCGAGUAGU